GACGAACGCUGGCGGCGUGCCUAAUACAUGCAAGUAGGACGCAGUUGCGAACGGGUGAGUAACGCGUAGGUAACUACCUAGUAGAGGGGGAUAACUAUUGGCAACGAUAGCUAAUACCGCCUACUAGUAGAUGGACCUGCUGUGUAUUAGCUAGUAGGUAGGGUAAUGGCCUACCUAGGCAACGAGACAUAGGCGAGCUGGAAGGGUGAUUGACCACACCGGGACUGGGUAACGGCCCAGACUCCUACGGGAGGCCGCAAGAGGGAAUCUUCGGAAAUUGGGGGAACCCUGGACGAGCAACGCCGGCGGAGUGAAGAAAGUUUUCGGAUCGUAAAACUCUUUUGUUAAGGAAGCGUUACUUAACGAGGAAGGGACGGCUAACUACGUGCCAGCAGCCGCGGUAAUUC
rnacentral:rRNA from 1 species